CUCACUACCUCCCGCACCUCCCUCCCUCCGACUCCACACCGCUCUUUUCCUUCCACCCUUUUUCUGCUCACCAAGUCAGCAUGUCGUCCCGCCAGGGUGGUAAGCAGAAGCCGCUGAAGCAGCCCAAGAAGGAGCGCUGUGAGAUGGCAGAGGAGGACAUAGCCUUCAAGCAGAUGCAGCGUGAGCAGAAGAAGGCUGAGAAGGAGGCGAUAGCGAAGAUGAAGAAGUAGAGAUGCCACCGCACCGCGCGCAGGCUCGCCGUUUUUUCUUUCUCUUGUGCGUUGUCGGCCGCCCCACCACCACCUUCUUCGUUUUUUUUCCUUCCCUUCUUUAUUUUCGUUCCAGUCAGCGUGUUUGUGCGCGUGCGUUCUGUUCGCGCGUUGCGCGACGAGUGAGCAGGGAGUCGCACUGCGUCUGUCACGGAAGGCGCACGGUGUUGUGUUGCGUUGAUUUGCCUUUAUGAGCUCGCCCUUGUUUCGCACGCCGCAGGGUACAGCAGUCGUGUGAAUCCUUGGGCCAGGUGCUCACUUUCGUGUCGUAAUAGAUGAUAACCAGAGAGUCAGAGUGCACCUCCGUGUGUGGCCUGCUGUUCGAGCACGUCAUUCCGUCGAGGAGUCCGAUCUAGGGAGCGAGAGAACUAAAGCAAAAUGUGGAUGGAAAGAUAGAAAAGAGGUGCUGGCUGUAGGACGGUGAAUCGUGUCCCACCAGUGUAAGCCGCCGCUUGAAAAGGGAACGAGCCCUGCCCACUUGACAAGCCUUCUUGCACCGCGUAUCUGACGGCCUCUUCAACAGUGCCCCAAGGAACGCCUUUACGUGCGCGUCUGCGUUUGUGCUUGGCGCACGUGUGCCACUGCGCCUGUGGCUCACUGCGUCUCUCCUGCAGCUCUUUGGACGCCGCUUCACCUUCUUUGCCUCCCACCUCUUUCCUUUGCCUUCCGGCCUUCGCUCCGUCUUCAUCCUCGCAUGCCCGCUUGCAG
rnacentral:misc_RNA from 1 species